AACGAACGCUGGCGGCAUGCCUAACACAUGCAAGUCGAACGAUUGCCUUCGGGUGAUAGUGGCGCACGGGUGCGUAACGCGUGGGAAUCUGCCCUUAGGUUCGGAAUAACAGCUGGAAACGGCUGCUAAUACCGGAUGAUAUCGCGAGAUCAAAGAUUUAGCGCCUGAGGAUGAGCCCGCGUUGGAUUAGGUAGUUGGUGGGGUAAAGGCCUACCAAGCCGACGAUCCAUAGCUGGUCUGAGAGGAUGAUCAGCCACACUGGGACUGAGACACGGCCCAGACUCCUACGGGAGGCAGCAGUGGGGAAUAUUGGACAAUGGGCGCAAGCCUGAUCCAGCAAUGCCGCGUGAGUGAUGAAGGCCCUAGGGUUGUAAAGCUCUUUUACCCGGGAAGAUAAUGACUGUACCGGGAGAAUAAGCCCCGGCUAACUCCGUG
rnacentral:rRNA from 1 species